GACGACCGCUGGCGGCGUGCUUAACACAUGCAAGUCGAACGGAAAGGCCCUGCUUUUGUGGGGUGCUCGAGUGGCGAACGGGUGAGUAACACGUGAGUAACCUGCCCUUGACUUUGGGAUAACUUCAGGAAACUGGGGCUAAUACCGGAUAGGAGCUCCUGCUGCAUGGUGGGGGUUGGAGAGUUUCGGCGGUUGGGGAUGGACUCGCGGCUUAUCAGCUUGUUGGUGGGGUAGUGGCUUACCAAGGCUUUGACGGGUAGCCGGCCUGAGAGGGUGACCGGCCACAUUGGGACUGAGAUACGGCCCAGACUCCUACGGGAGGCAGCAGUGGGGAAUAUUGCACAAUGGGCGGAAGCCUGAUGCAGCAACGCCGCGUGCGGGAUGACGGCCUUCGGGUUGUAAACCGCUUUCGCCUGUGACGAAGCGUGAGUGACGGUAAUGGGUAAAGAAGCACCGGCUAACUACGUG
rnacentral:rRNA from 1 species